CCCAGGGUGCUGGCGUGGGUCCCUCGCGGUCCGGCGGCGACUGUAAAUAGAGCCUGGAUGUUGUUUACAUGAAGGAUCCGGCGGGAGGAGUCUGAGAGGAGGAGGCGGAGGAGGAGGAGGAGGAGGAGGAGGCAGAGAGGAAGACCGGAGUCCCCCGCGGCGGCGGCGGGCCAGGGCGAGGGUGAGCCCGCGCGCGGGGGUCCGGGGACGGGCGCUACCACGAGGCUGAGACGAGACGCUGGACCCUGGGCUGCCUGCUCGCCAGAAGCCACCUUCUUGGAGAAGGACCACACCUGUGCUUAUUCCCGCUUUGGAGGAGAGGUGAGCCAAGAAACCAAGGAAUCCUGUGUUCCCCCAGAGCUUUUAGCCAGCCCCGCAUCCCGGAAUUGGCCAGAAAGUGCUGCUUUCACCUGCCGGUUGCACUGGGCACAUCCAUCUCCUGCCUGGCAAGUAAUGGUCUACAGAUGUGUUGGGAUUUUCUUUUUCCUCUGGACCUGCACCCCUACCAAGGAGCAACUACCUACUGCAUUUAGAUUGAGAGACAGAGGUGCCCCCGCACCCCCCCCCCACGCACCCCUCUUGGCCCAGUACUGUUAUUUAUUCCGAACUGGGUCUUCUAAUGGAAUCCUCAGCUGUCCCCUUCCAGUCCCCGUCAUUCUUCCUCUAAGAGCAUAACCCAGAAUCAGGCCUGAGCAGUCUCUGGCUCUCUUUCCCUCGGCCCCACCCUGGCCCCUCUUCCUUUUCCAGAGCCAAACAGGCCUCCCAAAGCAGAAGGCACACCCAGCCCCAAUUCUCACCAUACAAAAGGGAGGAGAAAACAGUGGAAGGGAAGAGACCCAAGGAUGUCCCUUCUGUCGUAAAUAUCCCCCACAGUGUCUCCCUCUUCAAGUUUCCUAGAUCUGUCACCCCUUUAUUCUCCACGGUGCCUCCCACCCUCUUUGCCCCUAGCCCUAUGAUAGAUACUUGGGGAGGUGGGGAUGGUGGGUGGAGAACGAGGUUGUCACCCUUGUUCCCUGGUUUGAGCCAGUUUCCUUCUCCCAGUCUUUUCAUUUCUGACAUGCUUAAAGAGUGUAAUAUGUAAAUAUGUUCUCGUGCCUAUUUGAACUUGUUUUGUUGCUGGCUAAGGAAUAGCUGGGACUCAAAAGGGGAGGGAGGGGAAAGAGAUGAGGAGUGAAUGUUCCCCCUAGUUUCCACCAUCAGAGCAUCCCUGGAGUUGCCGGAGAGGACCCUUCUGUAAAAGCCAGCGUCUCCCUUCCGUGACAUCACACCUAAGCCCGUCCAACUUUAGCUUCAGAACAGGAAGAAGGCUCAAAAUAGAACUACCUUAGGAAUCCAGCGCCUUUAGAAGAUCAACUUUUAAAUAGGCUGCAGGGGGAACACUGAACUUGGACAUGGGGAGAGAACUCUGUAGUGUUUGUAAUUGGUUCCUUUGGGUAAGGGUGGGGGCAUGUAUAUUCAGAAAAGCUUUUCUCAAGACAACUUAGGUACCUAGACCAAUGAAUGAUUAAUAGGAUGGUUCGAGAUUCAUUUAUUGAAUUAUUCAUGUUUCAUUAUGUCAACAACAAGCACUGUUCAGAAUGAAGUAGAGGGGCUCCUGGAAUGUGGGCUAGAGAGGAUGCUAGAGAUACAGGAGGUUGUGGGGCGGGGGUAGACUAGGAAGGAGCACUUGAGGAAGGUGAAGAACCCAUGGGGGUAGUGACAGCUACUGUGAGUAUGGAAGUCCAGAAGCUCAAUAUAAACAAUGGCCAUAACUUUGAAGGGUGACUAACCUCCUGGACAGAGAAGUAACAAUGUCAGUCAGGAUUUUCCACCUUUACCUCCAAAACAACGCCUUUGAAUCUCUUUGAAUCUCAGUGUCUCCAUUCUUUCUCUGAAUUGAGAUGUGUCUUUCUCUCUGAGCUAAAAGAGUUGUCCAGUCUUGGGAAAAGCUGCUUAAUAAAUGACCAUCACUGAAAUAUUGACAAUUUAAGUAAGGAUUAGUAGUGGGGCAGAAAAUACUUGGCAUAAUUUGAGCACCUGGUGGGUGAUGUAGAAGGAGUUGCUGUUGAAUGGGGUAACUUCUUUUAAUCUGGUUCAGGUUUAAAAGAAGCCAGGUAACAGAGACAGGGUUGGCUAUACCUGCAUUAAUACGGUAACCACUUAGACAGGUGGCUGUCAAGCACCUGAAAUAUGGCCACGGCGAUGAGGAACCUAACUUCAAAUUUUAUAUCAUUCUUAAAAUUGAUAUUUGAUUCAGGUAUUGGAAAAUUUAAAUACAUUUGGAAACAAUCUGGGCACAUGCAUGGACUUUUUAAACUGUAAAUUUUAAUCCAGAUAAGCAUUUCUGAUGAAACUUAGUGUUCAAAUUGAGAUGCAUUAUAAGCAUAAAAUAUGCUCCAUAUUUCAAAGAUUUAGUACAAAAAAAGAAAGUGAAAUAUCUCAUGAAUAAUUUUAAGUUGUUUACAUGUUCAAAUGAUCAUAUUUUGGAUAUACUGAGUUUAAAUAUAUUAUUAAAGUUAAUUUCGUCUGUUUAUUUUUUAAUGUGGCUAUUAGAAUAUUUUAAAUUACAUAUAUAGAUUACAUUUUCUUCUCUUGGAUCGUGUGGGCCUAUAACAUCACUCCUUUUGGUCCAUGGAUUAAUUACAAAAGAAGUGACUGCAUGACAGUUACAGCAAGUUUGUCAGUCAUCUCCUUUUUUCUUUUUCCUUGUGGAGAUUUGGGAACCUCCAAGAAUUGUUAUUAUAAUACGUGAGACCUCAUAGUGACUGCUUUGCAGAUUGUUAUUCAGGAUGUGUGCUCUAAUCAAGAAGGUCAGUAAAACGUGAAGGGUAUGAGAAGGGUUAGUGGAAGCAGCAUGGGAAAAUUUAGGCACCCACACAUCUGGCUAUAGCUGCUUUUGUAAAAGACUCCUAAGCAUGCCAGAACAGAAACAAUUUUGACAGCUGGUGGCAUCUUAGUGAUUCCACUUACCACUCACCUUUGUUUAUUUUCUCUUCCUCCAUUUACUUUCUAUCCCCAACCACCAUCAGAGCUCCAUUGGUGUUAAUUGUGCCCAGGAGGUUGUUGACACCCGCCGCCCCCCAAAAAAAGUACGAUGCUGAUUGGAAUAGAGAGAAUGCUAUAUUGGGGGUUUGGUUUUGUCUCAUGAAUUAGUAUUGGUACAGGGAGGGACUUAUGGGACAUUUAGUACUAUCCCUUUAUUCUAUCAUUGACAAACUGUCAAGUACCUUGUCUAAGAAUUAAAUACACACUUUUGUUGAUAACCUGUUUAGAGAAUCCCUGGGAAAUAAAGAUUCAUCAAUUAA